GACCCCAAGCAUGUGUGCUGCACCAGGCAGUGACGGGGAGUCCCCAGUGAGGGAAUCCACGGCAGCUGUGCAGGAGCCUCAGCCAAAAAGCCAAUUGCAGGCUGCUGCCAGAAGCCGACCAAGGACUCUGCCCUGCAGAAACCCUCUCAGUUGUGAGUGGAGACUGACAUUCCACAUUCUCUCACAGCAAUGGAAUGAACACGAUUAAGAAGAUAUGAGUGAGAGUAGAAUACCAACUGUUAUAACUUGGCACCUAGCUCUAGAAGCACUCAUUCGGCCUAGCAGGAUGUAUGUUCCUUGUGCCUUUGUAGAUGACACAGUGGAACACAGAAAUUGCUGACUAAAGAAGAGGCUAUAAACGAUGGUAUGUCUGGCUCUUCACAGACAUGCAGCGGAGCUAAUGAAUAACUCAAGGUUCCUGGGAGCUGAAGUCUCAUUUUGUCACACGUACUUGCAAGGCAACCACAUGGACUUUGGGACACUUGUCACUGGCAGUUUAUUUUUAAUUUGACAAAAGGGUGGUGAUUUACCUGCUGGCUCUUCUGGACUUGGGCUAAAUAACAUACUAGAUUCUUCCAUGCCAAAUUCCUUUGAAUCACAUUUGUUCUGCUUGGGUGGAUUAGUAAUGAGAUCAACAGUGUUUCAAUUAAGCAAUGAAGAUAGACAUGAACUUGCACUGAAUUCCCUGGAUUUGGAAAAUACAAUGUGAAACAGCACCUUCUUAAGAUGAGGCAUGCAUUGAGAACAAAAGGGUUAGCUGGAAGAACUGUUGACACUUGUUACAUGUAUUUGAGACAGCGGUGAGAUACGGAGGCACCUUGUCUUGCCUAAAGCACAACUCGGAUGGCAAACAACCAAAUUUGGUAGAUGCAGUUCCAAGUUUCAUGUAGGGUAAUGCUGAACACAUUGCAGGUGAGAAAGGACAUGUAAAAGUGUGAAUAAUAAUAAAUUAUAACAACAGCAAUGAUAUCUAUUUAACACUACUUUCACUCUUACAUCUCAAAUAUAUGUCACUCAUAUAUGUUUAUUUUAUGAAUGAGGAGAAUGAAAAAUUGGGAAGGGUUCUGACUUGCUCCGAUUCAAGCAGCGUUUGAGUAAAGAAUGAACCUAGGCUUCCAGGCCCUCACACAAGGUCAGAAUGGCCCCACUGUGGGAGUUACUAACUUCUCCAGGCUGUUUUUUCUCCUCAACAGCAGAAAUCGAGAUUUGUAUUUGAGAAUGCACCUCUACUAAUAGGACUGCUGGUUCUUGCCAUGCAAAGGCUGGCUGAAAGGCUGUGCUUCCCAGUAAAGAAAAUGAGCACAGGAAAGCUUCAAAAAGGACAAAAAUGGUGCACUUCAGCUUGGGAUCAUUAUAUUUGAAAUCAACUGUCUAAAUGCUGUUUUAUUUUACCUGUGUUUCAGGUGAGAAUGUAUUUCAGAAGGGCAUAAUUGCCAAUGGGAAAUAAGUGGCCUUCUCUGGCUAUGACAGAGGGGAAGGUCAUCUAGCUGGACAGUAAUUA